UGGAGGAACAGCCCCAGUGGCGGGCCAGCUCUGGAAACCUGGAUUCAGCUCCGGCAGGAACUCCGUCUGCAGGGCCUGGAGGCUCCGGGGCGGG
rnacentral:pre_miRNA from 1 species